CACCGCGGUUAUACGAGUGACUCAUAUUAACACAUCUCGGCGUAAAGAGUGAUUAAAAGAUGAUCCCUAACAACUAAAGUUUAGACCUCAUAAAGCUGUUAUACGCACCCAUGAAUGGAAUAAACAACAACGAAAGUGACUUUAUAUAUUAAGAAACCCUUGACGUCACGACAGUUGGGACCCAAACUAGGAUUAGAUACCCUACUAUACCCAACCAUAAACUUAGACAAUGCCCUACCACAUUGUUCGCCAGAGUACUACAAGCGCUAGCUUAAAAUCCAAAAGACUUGGCGGUACUCCACAUCCACCUAGAGGAGCCUGUUCUAUAACCGAUAAUCCCCGUUCAACCUCACCACUUCUUGCCAUUACCGUCUAUAUACCGCCGUCGUCAGCCCACCCUGUGAAGGACUAAAAGUAAGCAAAAAGAAUAAAACUCCAAAACGUCAGGUCGAGGUGUAGCAAAUGAAGUGGGAAGAAAUGGGCUACAUUUUUUUCUAAAAAUACACGAAUGAUAAAUUGAAAAAAUACCUAAAGGUGGAUUUAGCAGUAAGAGGGAAUCAGAAUAUCCCCCUGAAAUUGGCUCUGGAGUAAGCACACACCGCCCGUCACUCUCCUCAAACACCAACCCAUCUUUCUAUAAAUAUACUUUUUUUAACAAGAGGAGGCAAGUCGUAA
rnacentral:rRNA from 1 species